AUUGAACGCUGGCGGCAUGCCUUACACAUGCAAGUCGAACGGUAGAAGGGGCAACCCUUCGAGAGUGGCGAACGGGUGAGUAAUGCAUCGGAACGUGCCCAGUCGUGGGGGAUAGCCCGGGGAAACCCGGAUUAAUACCGCAUACGACCUGAGGGUGAAAGCGGGGGACCGUAAGGCCUCGCGCGAUUGGAGCGGCCGAUGUCGGAUUAGGUAGUUGGUGGGGUAAAGGCCUACCAAGCCUGCGAUCCGU
rnacentral:rRNA from 1 species